rnacentral:rRNA from 1 species
AGAGUUUGAUCCUGGCUCAGAUUGAACGCUGGCGGCAUGCCUAACACAUGCAAGUCGAACGGCAGCACAGCAGAGCUUGCUCUGUGGGUGGCGAGUGGCGGACGGGUGAGUAAUGCAUCGGGACCUACCCAGACGUGGGGGAUAACGUAGGGAAACUUACGCUAAUACCGCAUACGUCCUACGGGAGAAAGCGGGGGACCUUCGGGCCUCGCGCGGUUGGACGGACCGAUGUUCGAUUAGCUAGUUGGUAGGGUAAUGGCCUACCAAGGCGACGAUCGAUAGCUGGUCUGAGAGGAUGAUCAGCCACACUGGAACUGAGACACGGUCCAGACUCCUACGGGAGGCAGCAGUGGGGAAUAUUGGACAAUGGGCGCAAGCCUGAUCCAGCAAUGCCGCGUGUGUGAAGAAGGCCUUCGGGUUGUAAAGCACUUUUAUCGGGAACGAAAUACCACGGGUUAAUAACCUAUGGGGCUGACGGUACCCGAGGAAUAAGCACCGGCUAACUUCGUGCCAGCAGCCGCGGUAAUACGAAGGGUGCAAGCGUUAAUCGGAAUUACUGGGCGUAAAGGGUGCGUAGGCGGUUGUUUAAGUCUGUUGUGAAAUCCCCGGGCUCAACCUGGGAAUGGCAAUGGAUACUGGACGGCUAGAGUGUGUCAGAGGAUGGUGGAAUUUCCGGUGUAGCGGUGAAAUGCGUAGAGAUCGGAAGGAACAUCAGUGGCGAAGGCGGCCAUCUGGGACAACACUGACGCUGAAGCACGAAAGCGUGGGGAGCAAACAGGAUUAGAUACCCCGGUAGUCC